rnacentral:rRNA from 1 species
UUGAACGCUGGCGGAAUGCUUUACACAUGCAAGUCGGGCGGCAGCGCGGGGGCAACCCUGGCGGCGAGCGGCGAACGGGUGGGUAACAUAUCGGAACGUACCCAGACGUGGGGGACAACUAGUCGAAAGACUAGCUAAUACCGCAUACGUCCUGAGGGAGAAAGCGGGGGAUCGCAAGACCUCGCGCGUUUGGAGCGGCCGAUAUCUGAUUAGCUAGAUGGUGGGGUAAAGGCCCACCAUGGCGACGAUCAGUAGCUGGUCUGAGAGGAUGAUCAGCCACACUGGAACUGAGACACGGUCCAGACUCCUACGGGAGGCAGCAGUGGGGAAUUUUGGACAAUGGGGGAAACCCUGAUCCAGCCAUUCCGCGUGAGUGAAGAAGGCCUUCGGGUUGUAAAGCUCUUUCGGCGGGAACGAAACGGCGGAAUCUAAUACAUUCCACUAAUGACGGUACCUGAAGAAGAAGCACCGGCUAACUACGU